AGGAGCCGUAUGAGGUGAAAAUCUCAUGUAAGGUUUUAGACUAGUGAUGUAAACAGUGAUGUCAUCAUCGACUAUAAU
rfam:Gossypium raimondii chromosome 10, whole genome shotgun sequence.